rnacentral:tRNA from 1 species
GCGGUUGUGGCGGAACUGGCAGACGCGCUAUCUUCAGGCGGUAGUGGAGUAAUCCGUGAGAGUUCAAAUCUCUCCAACCGCACCA